CGGGGACACGUGGACCCGCGCCGCUGGGCGCCCGCGCCGCGCAGGAGGAGCCGCCCGGAUCUGCGAGGAGCGGAGCCCGACCCGGCCGCCCCCGCUGGGCGAGGGCUCCAGAGCGCCCUCGUCCCUUCCCGGAGCUCGGGCCGGCGCUGGGUGCCUGCCCUUAACGAACCCGCACCGCCAGCGGGUGCGGCCCCGGCGGGAGGCGGCCGGCGCAGGGCGGCGUGAGUCAGCGCGAUUAGCCCUCGGAAGGGCCCCACCGCCCCGCGCGGCUCGGAAAUAAUCCGCGGUAUUCUAAACAGCUGAGAGAGAGUUUCAAAAUUAUGCAAUUUUGGGGCUUUCCAAGGAGAUCAUUGUGGGUUUUUUUUUUUGUUUUUUUUUUUUGUGCUGUUUCCAACAUCCUCCCCAUCUGCCGAGCUGCUCCCAAAUGGCGCUGGAGUCCCGUGGCAGUUCGGUAGUUCUGACUUUCGGGUAUGCCCGCGGUUGGUCGGGAACGUAAACAACAACAAAAGGUAUUUACACAACGUAAAGAGAAAGGAGUCCUUAAGCGGCGGCCGCUGGGAGCUGUACGUCCCGUGGAAGGCGCUGACAGCGGCCGCCAGAGGGAACGCUGCGCUUACUGUCACCACGGAAGGCUUCUGCAGUGCAAAAGAACGCUCCGAUCGUUGUUGGCCAUCAACGCGCACAGCGCAGACCGCCGGGCAGCCCGAGGCUCGGCCUCUCCUGCAGGCGAUCCUGGUAGCCGUACCGCUCCGCUCUGUGGGCACCGAAGGGACGCGGCUCCCAAAGCACGGCGGAACCGGGCAGCACUGCAUGUAGGUGUGCGAGAGCUGAGCUGACAGAAGGAAAGCCGACCUCGGGCUAUUGAACUCGAAAAUCCUCUGCGCUUAACUACGCAACAGAAGAACCCUUUGCGGGUCAUUGUCCCAGUUUGAGAACGCAGUGAUUUGAGCAAAUGGAGCUUUGGCAGAAGACUUGUGGAUACACGGGUGUCUCCACUCUGCAGACAGGCUACAAAGCCUGUGCAACUGCCACUUGCAAAGCAGAAUUCCCAUUCACUCCCCUGCGUAUCCCAGUGGGAAAGGAGUGGCACGCACAGGCCAGAUUGAGUGGCAACAGAAGAUACCAGAUGGUGUUUUGGGAAAAGACUUUCUGCCCCAAGGCUAACACCUGGCUGUGGAGCACGUUCCCACCCCACUAAGUGCUUUUUCUACCCACUUCUCAGUCUAGUUGUAAAAUACAUUGGCUGUGAGGGUUCACAGUUAUUUAGAAAAACUUGUGCAUAAAUGCCACAUGCAAAGCACAGUCCUUCGAGAUCCACUGGCCCAGAUUCAAGAGACAAGUAAAUAUCACUGCUGAAUUAGUGCCUCAGUAUCACACUUACCACCUUACAAAGAGCACAACAAUGGGAAUCCUACUUAGGAUCUGGAUUAGAACUCCAUAAAUAUGAGAGUCUGAAUUGUUUGUAAGAUUCGAGAACCAGAAACAUAGCAGCUUCCUUGUUUUCAAAUCUGCCUUUUCUUCUUUGCAUAUGGAAAGUUUACUCAGAGAAAAUGAGUAAGAGGACAGAUAUUGCAUGCAGUAGAUGGCAGCAAAACACAGAGAACCUUAUCAAAGAUUAACUACUAGCCCCCCUGCCGGGUUGAAGUCAAAUAUCCUCAAACGUCCAGGUGAUGAUGUCAAUCCCAUACUCCUUGCUCUGCAUAUCUAGGCUGUAAUUAAAUCAUUGCUCCAUGCACACGCCCUGCCUCACCUUACACCAUGCUCCGAAUGAAUGAGUGCUCAGGGAAUGAAUCAAUGCUGUGCAACACCAAUGUUGUUGUAGCUUUGCUGAUUCAGCUGCUUUUGCUGUUUUAAGAGAGGCAGGUGAUAACAUGGGGGAUUGCGAAGUCUUAAUUGGGAAUUCUCAUCACCUUAUCCAGGGAUAGCUACCAAGAAGCACAAAUAACCAAGAAUGACUCCAAACAAACAGAAAAUGAUACAGAUAAAUUUACAUUCACCCUCACUGUCUUACCUAGUUAUUUAUUUCUGAACAUGUCCAGCCUCAAAGUGGUGAAACCACAAGGUAGAUUAAAUAAUAAUAAAAGAUUAGUCAAAGUCAUACUAGUAAAAUAAAUAUUACAUCUUGAAUUUGUGCCUCUCUACUUUUAAUUUCUCAUCGAAAGCUGAUGUCCUAUCUUGCUUUUUACGACACAGUUGCUAUUGCUGACUUUCUGAAGUACAACCUAUCAUCACUUUAAUUCUGCUAUACAGAUGCUUUCACAUCCAUGUGUACAUAUCUUUCCACCCUUAGCAAUUAACAAAUGACUCCACAUAGUUCAGAUAACCCUGCUUACCAGAGCUGCCACCUUCACCCAGCACGGCAGCCUAUCCUGCAGGCGUUCUGGCAGACCCUCACACCUCAGUCUUCUGUCGCUGUGACUUCUGUAUCUUCUACAGCUGUUCCUGCUCUGUCCCUCUUCUCAUUCUCUCUAGAAAUGUAUCUUGUCAUUAUAGCACAGAUUCCAGUUCUAGCUAAACUGUUAUCAUCUACCAAGACAAAGCAAGACAAAAAGUGACAAGGGCAUCAGGAACGUGAUGAUGAGAAGCAAUCCUGAAGAAAGGGAAAUAAGAAAACCCAUGCCAGCCCAAGGCUUGCAGAAAAACAAAUCAAGAACAGACUACAGAUGAUCUGGAGGUUCUGUGUAAACUGUAGUGCCAGGGAGUGUUUGGCAGCACUGGAAUACAAUUAUCUGUACUGUACCUUCUUUUUAGAACAGUCCCGGAGUAGUUUUUGUGAGGACCAAUAGCAAAUAAUUCUCAGACGUGGUUUGGGACGGUUCUCAGUUGGCCAUCUGCAUGUGGCCGCUGCAUAUAGAAAGCUACAGCUUAUAAAUGAGCCUACACAAAUUCUACAGAGUCGCAGGAACAUUGACUAUUUUAUGCCCCAGUAACAGCAGUCUCAGACACAUAUUUUUUAUUGUGGAUGUAAUGGUACAGAUUCAGCUAAAAGAAAGAAUGGGAACUGAAGACAUAGUGAAGAUGAGGUUGCUUAAGAAACACACCAUGUGACUCCACAAGGACAGAACUGGGAGGAGAAGAGUAAGGUUAUUUAGCUCAUUUUGGUCCACCAAGAGAAGUGCCCAGCCUGUAAAUACCUGAGUCAAAAUGGGGAUGAAGAAUUUAGAAACAGUCUCGGUAUCUAUCUGAAGGAAAUCCAACUCUCAUUGGAUGUGGAUACAAUCCUAAGUUUUGUGAGGCAGCCAACACCACUGAUUCUAACACAUUCAACAUACAAAGAAGUGGGCAUCAGUUGUUGGGGCUGAGACCUCACAGUGCUGGUGCGGGGUCACAUUGGUGCUGUGCAUCAGUCAGUGGGUGGUGAGUAAUUGCACUGUGGCUAGAUGUAUUGUUAUCACUGCAUUUCUGUUUCCAUUUUCUUCUGCCCUGGUAAAUAGUUUUUAUAUAAAUAGACACAUUCUAUUUUGUUUCCAAUUCUCUCC
ensembl:lncRNA